GUGGGGCUGUAGCUCAAUGGUAGAGCGCUUGCUUGCAUGUAUGAGGCACUGGGUUCGAGCCUCAGCACCACA
rnacentral:tRNA from 1 species